rnacentral:rRNA from 1 species
GAUGAACGCUGGCGGCGUGCCUAAUACAUGCCAGUCGAGCGAACAGACGAGGAGCUUGCUCCUCUGACGUUAGCGGCGGACGGGCGAGUAACACGUGGAUAACCUACCUAUAAGACUGGGAUAACUUCGGGAAACCGGAGCUAAUACCGGAUAAUAUAUUGAACCGCAUGGUUCAAUAGUGAAAGACGGUUUUGCUGUCACUUAUAGAUGGAUCCGCGCCGCAUUAGCUAGUUGGUAAGGUAACGGCUUACCAAGGCAACGAUGCGUAGCCGACCUGAGAGGGUGAUCGGCCACACUGGAGCUGAGACACGGUCCAGACUCCUACGGGAGGCAGCAGUAGGGAAUCUUCCGCAAUGGGCGAAAGCCUGACGGAGCAACGCCGCGUGAGUGAUGAAGGUCUUCGGAUCGUAAAACUCUGUUAUUAGGGAAGAACAAAUGUGUAAGUAACUAUGCACGUCUUGACGGUACCUAAUCAGAAAGCCACGGCUAACUACGUG